GUACAAUAUGGCUGAACAGUGAUGAUCGUUUUCGCGCCUUUUUGUGGUCGAGAGCAGAGAGAUGUCUCUGUCGAGAGACGCCAUGAAUGUCAACUACUGCAUGUUUGCAUACAAAUCUUACGAAAAUAUCGUGGAUUAAUUAGUAUGGAAUAUCCGCACACGAUAGCAAUAUGUCAUACAAUAGUGAUAAUAUAAUAGAGCAGGAGAGAAAACGAUCCAAGAUUACGAAGGAAACGUCUAUCGCAGAUAUUGCGUCUUCUAUUGGUCACAUAACCAAAUCUAUUGAAUCUAUGAGUGCAAACUACAGCGAGAUCUUAAGGAUUAACAAGAAUGUUGUUACAUAUCUACAGAAGGUUGAAGAAUCCGAGAAAGGAAUAAAUCAUAUUGUAGCGGAUACAUCCAUAGAUAAGAGCAAGAGAAGCAAUAAUUAAUGCAACAAUUGUAUUUAUCCCAUAUUGCUUGAGACAUAUUAGUCCCUCACUGCGAUUUAUGGUUUUCUUCUAGGAUCUGAUGGGUCCAAUGGGAUUAUCACAGGCGGCACAUUUUCGGGCCGACGGUUAGAGAAAUUGUAAUUUGAACCUUUCGUGGAUACAAAUCUGUUUAUUGGUCUAGACAACCCUAUUGGUCCACAUCUGGAACAUAUUUACGGUUACAUUGCGAAUAAUUGCA